GAUGAACGCUAGCGGCAGGCCUAACACAUGCAAGUCGAGGGAGGAGCCUUCGGGCUUCGACCGGCGUACGGGUGCGUAACGCGUAUACAAUCUGCCUUUCACAUAGGGAUAGCCCGAAGAAAUUUGGAUUAAUACCUAAUGGUAUAUAGAUGUGGCAUCACCUUUAUAUUAAAGCUGAGGCGGUGAAAGUUGAGUAUGCGUUCUAUUAGCUAGUUGGAGAGGUAACGGCUCCCCAAGGCGACGAUAGAUAGGGGUUCUGAGAGGGAUAUCCCCCACACUGGUACUGAGAUACGGACCAGACUCCUACGGGAGGCAGCAGUGAGGAAUAUUGGACAAUGGUCGGAAGACUGAUCCAGCCAUGCCGCGUGCAGGAAGACGGCCUUAUGGGUUGUAAACUGCUUUUGCAGGGGAAGAAUAAGGACUACGCGUAGUUUGAUGACGGUACUCUGCGAAUAAGCAUCGGCUAACUCCGUG
rnacentral:rRNA from 1 species